GCCUGGUGUGCCAGCCUCGCAGACUGUGAGAACCCACGGUGAUGAGGCAGAUUCCGCAUUUGUGUGUUGUUUUUUUGCUCUGAGGAAUUGACAUCGCUUUGGAUUGGGACUGGGGCGCUUUGAUGUGGUGAUGUCAAUUUUGGAGUCUUCGUUCGAUUUGUGGCGAAGGUUUAGGGUUCACGAGGGAUUACAAGUCUCGUGUUUGGCAUUUGGAGAAUGUUGGUGAAAGCAACUGGGAAGUGAUCGGAGGGAAGGAGGCAAGAUGGAUGCUCUUAGACGCGCCGAUGCGCACAUUGCAGCUGCCACACAUCCCCGCAGGAACCUCAGAUGGCGAUUGAAUCGCUACAACCCUAUGCACCGAUGGAACAUGAAGAAGCACCACGUAACGCACCCCGUCACGUAUCAGAAGCAGAAACUUAGGAGGAAGAUCAAUUACAUAAAUCCUCUUUUCUACCUGCGGCGCAUCAAGAACAACUUGUGUGGAAUUGUAGGCCAUCACAAACAUUGAGCAUCACAAAAGCUGCCGUGGUCUGGUCUUAGCCGCACCUCUGCCUCGUCCAAUCCACAGUUUGCAGGGCUGCAUUUUUCGGUUAUAUGCCAUUCGAGUAGUCCUGAAAUCAUUCAUACUGCGGAGAUUUGUGAUUAUGUUUUAGUUUUUUCUUUUUUUUUUAAAUAAAGUGUUAACUGUAAAGAAAAGAUUAUAGUUUCUAUCAUGUAGCUGCGAGUUUAUUCUUUGCAGCUGGAUUCUUCACUUGUUGAAAGGCAAGUUAUUUCUUCCUAGAGCAGGCUGCCGCUCGCAUCUUGCUUGACCUCCAGUAAUUAAGAUUGCAAGCAGAUUUGGUACUCUGAUUUUGUAUUUAAAUCCUUUGAAAAAGAAAUUGAAGAUUUUGUGUAUAAGAUUCUUCGA